rnacentral:lncRNA from 1 species
CUGAGCAUGGCGUAUUUUGCCUAUCAUGAUUUUAUCUAAUUACAAACUUUCUGUCUCUUUAUUUGCUAUGCAUUCUUCAAUUUCUUUCUAGAUUGAUAGGGCUAUUUUGGGUUAAUUCUUUGUAUGUGUUUAAGCUAUUUCUUAGAGUUUAUAUUCAUUUAUCUUUUCAUUCAGUGCAUAAAUGAGACUUUUCAUCUUUCUCAAAUUUUUCUCCUAUUUUCUUACUGAAGUUUAGACUUCAAGGGUCUUUUUCGUUCUUGGUCUUGUUCAUGAUGCACUUCUCUGUUUCUAUAGGGGAUCAAAUUUUACAAAUCAGUAACAAGCAAUAGGAAGCUCAAUUGUUCAUCCUGUUUGUCUGGGCUUUUAAGUUUCUCAUGGUCUUUUGGGUCACCUUAAUUCCUUGGUGCACAGUUGAUUUUCUGUGUGUUUGUUACAUGUUGAUAGCAUACAUAUUUAUGAAAGAAAUCAUUUAUUUGCUAAGGUAAGUCUCAGUAAGCAUGCAAAAUUAUUUUUUCUCAAAAAAACAUUGCAAAAUUCCUGUGUGACUUUUCAGGCUUCUCUAUACUGUGCUAGCGCAAUUCACAGACAGACAUACUGAAGAGUUUCUGUAAUGAGAAUGGCUUCACAUUCAACCCUCUGUGUGGAAAUCUUAUGUGCCUUUAAAAGAAGUUUUGUAAUCUUGGAAAUUAGAGCGAAUCUGGCUGUUAAGUGUCACUCAGCCAGUCCUUGUUUGGUGACAGAACAGGUAGUUUUUCUAUUGUUCCCAUUUCCUGCCUGCUAGCUCUCUCUAUAGAAAUCUUACCUCCAGACCUCUGUUUCAAGCAACAAUAUGAUAGUACCUAAUUUCUGUCAUCCAGGCAUUGGUGCAAAGAAAGUGUCUCCCUGUCAUAAGGUUUGUCAUUGUCCUUUAUCGCUGUUUACACUGCUUAACUAUACAAUUAUUUAGCCUAUUUAUUUAUUAUUUAUUUUUGGUUCUGUUUUUAUUUACAUUUUAAAUACUGUCCCCUUUCCUGGUCUCCCCUAUGCAAACCUUCCAUCCCAUCCCCCUGCCCUUUGCCUCUAAAAGGGUGCUCCUCCAACCCAACCACUCCUGCCUCAACCCUCUAGCAUCCCCUUAUGAUGGGCAACAAGGCUCCACAGGACCAAAGGUCUCUCCUCCCAUUGAUGCCAGAUAGGGCCCUCCUUGCCUAUUUAUGUAUCUGUAGCUAUGGAUGCCUCCAUCUUUGGUUGGUUGUUUAGUCCCUGGAAGCUCAGGGGGUUGGGGGAGGGCCAGAUAGUUUAUAUUGUUCUUCUGGUAGGUUUGCAAACCCCUUCAGCUCCUUCAGUCCUUCCCAUAACUUUUCCAGCAUCUUUUUUUUUUUUUAAAGGAGGCAAAAAUAAAGUUAAGUCUGAUACUGUUUCUGAUAUCAGAAACAAUAAUACUAAGGUACAUACAAGAGUGCUCUCAGCUUGCUCUCAUCCCACUCUGUAUUCAUGUUCUGGGUGAUAAACAAGAAGCAUAAUGGACUUCCUACCAGUGAGAGGAGCUAUCAUCAGUUCUCAGUCUGCCUCUGCUCAUUCACAAUGUCUACCAAAAGUGAAAGAAGAGAACUUCACCCAGUUUCCAAGAAAUUCUUCAGCUGCUAGACACUGGUACAGUCAAAUUGUUUUAUAAUCUUAGCUCACCACAUUGCAAGUUCUCUUUGUUAGUUUAACAACUGUUGCUAAACUUUACCGCACAUAUCCUCUGUAGUAGCACCUAGAAAGAUGCAUCAUAUUUGCUCAUUGAUUUCUCUACAACCAAAACAAACAAACAAACACCACAGGGUAAGUGUACUGGCUGGUUUUGUGUGUCAAUUUGACAAGAACUGAAGUUAGCAAAGAAAGGAGCCUCCCUUGAGGAAAUGCCUCCAAGAGAUCCGGCUGUAAGGCAUUUUUUUUCAUUAGUAAUCAAGUGUAGGAGGGCCCAUUGUGGGUGGUGUCAUCCCUGGGUUGUUAGUCUUGGGUUCUAUAAGAAAGCAAGCUGAGCAAGCCAGGGGAAGCAAACCAGUAAGCAGCAUCCCUCCAUGGUCUCUGCAUCAGCUCCUGCCUCCAUGAUCCUGCCCUGUGUGAGUUCCUGUCCUGACUUCCUUUGGUGAUGAACAGCAAUGUGGAAGUGUAAGCUGAAUAAACUCUUUCCUCCCCAACUUGCUUCUUGGUCAUGAUGUUUUGUACAGGAAUACAAACCCUAACUAAGACAGUAUUAGGUACUCAUUGUGACAUCAUUAACCUAAUGUGGACUGUAACACAAAACUGUGAAUAUGGUCAAUAGACCAGAGCAAGUCUUGACUGUAGCUUUUUGAUUCCAUCUGAAAUGAAUUCUGGCAUCUCACAUUCUAAGGAUACCAGCACUGAAGUUCCAGAAACUACUCACUAACCUCCCCACCCCUCAAUAUUCUCAAUAUUCUCUACUAAACUCCCUAACUAACUACUCUCGCUUUGCUAAACCUGGCAUGAAAAAUAUUUCCAAACUGUCUGAGUCCUCGAUUUUAUAUAUUGAUUAAGUCAAUGCACUUCCUCUACUAAUGCAAUAAUUUCACCUGCUUAUCAAUAUUACACAGCAAUAAGCUCAAGAGGUUUAGUCAGCAAAGGUGCCAAUAUUUACACUCUUUUAAAUUAGUUCAGAAAUUCAGCUAAUUUUUAUUUCUGGCUGGUUAAUGAAAAUUGUGCUUUGGAUUUUCUUUACUUACUCUGCACUUCAUUUAGAAAAAAGAUCUGAAAUGCAUUAAACAUUAAAGUUUAUAGUCC